UACGAAGGGUGCAAGCGUUAAUCGGAAUUACUGGGCGUAAAGGGUGCGUAGGCGGUUCGUUAAGUCUGUCGUGAAAUCCCCGGGCUCAACCUGGGAAUGGCGAUGGAUACUGGCGAGCUAGAGUGUGUCAGAGGAUGGUGGAAUUCCCGGUGUAGCGGUGAAAUGCGUAGAGAUCGGGAGGAACAUCAGUGGCGAAGGCGGCCAUCUGGGACAACACUGACGCUGAGGCACGAAAGCGUGGGGAGCAAACAGG
rnacentral:rRNA from 1 species